rnacentral:rRNA from 1 species
UGCAAGUCGAACGAUGAAGUUCCUUCGGGAAUGGAUUAGUGGCGAACGGGUGAGGAACACGUGAGAAAACCUGCCUUUCAUUCUGGAAUAACACCGGGAAACCGGUGCUAAUACCGGAUACUCCAUCUUGGCGGCAUCGCCGAGCUGGGAAAAAAUUUUGAUGAAAGAUGGUCUCGCGGCCUAUCAGCUAGUUGGUGAGGUAAAGGCUCACCAAGGCGACGACGGGUAGCCGGCCUGAGAGGGCGAACGGUCACACUGGGACUGAGACACGGCCCAGACUCC